rnacentral:rRNA from 1 species
AUCUUCCACAAUGGACGGAAGUCUGAUGGAGCAACGCCGCGUGAGCGAAGAAGGUCUUCGGAUCGUAAAGCUCUGUUGUAAGGGAAGAAUAAGUACAGUAGUAACUGGCUGUACCUUGACGGUACCUUACGAGAAAGCCACGGCUAACUACGUUCCAGCAGCCGCGGUAAUACGUAGGUGGCAAGCGUUGUCCGGAAUUAUUGGGCGUAAAGCGCGCGCAGGCGGCCUUUUAAGUCUGAUGUGAAAGCCCCCGGCUUAACCGGGGAGGGUCAUUGGAAACUGGGAGGCUUGAGUGCAGAAGAGGAAAGUGGAAUUCCAAGUGUAGCGGUGAAAUGCGUAGAGAUUUGGAGGAACACCAGUGGCGAAGGCGACUUUCUGGUCUGUUACUGACGCUGAGGCGCGAAAGCGUGGGGAGCAAACAGG